rnacentral:rRNA from 1 species
GAUGAACGCUAGCGGCAGGCUUAACACAUGCAAGUCGAGGGGUAUUGGUUUUCGGACCAAGAGACCGGCGCACGGGUGCGUAACGCGUAUGCAAUCUACCUUUUGCAGAGGGAUAGCCCAGAGAAAUUUGGAUUAAUACCUCAUAGUAUAGUACUUUGGCAUCAAGGAACUAUUAAAGUCACAACGGCAAAAGAUGAGCAUGCGUCCCAUUAGCUAGUUGGUAAGGUAACGGCUUACCGGAAGCUACGAUGGUAGGGUCCUGAGAGGGAGAUCCCCACACUGGUACUGA